rnacentral:rRNA from 1 species
ACUGGUGAUGAUUCGCUUGUGAUAAAUACCUGUUUUCCAUUCCGAACACAGAAGUUAAGUCUCGAGCGGCUGAUGAUAGUGGAUGGGUAACUGUCUGUGAAAAUAGGUGGUUGCCAGUU